UAAUUAUAACCUCAACCAACCGUGUAAGGAGCACAAAAAACCAUGUCCGUCUGUGUACACAUCCAGUUCGGUAUAUCUUUAUCAAGAAUGUUACAAUGAAGCUCGAAAUAGCAAGGCGCACAGCAACGACAAUCUCCGAAACGAUGAUAGUUCAGUACCAGGGAAACAAUAUUUCCUUCAACUCCAAAUUAAAAUUUCCUGGAUUUUGGCAAUUUUAUUUACGUUAUUUAUAGUAGUCUUGAUUUACAUUUGCUGGCCUAAAAAGGGUUCAAGACUCAAACAGAUGUGCAAUGCAAUUCAGCAACGUAUACUUGGGAAAUCUUCUUUGACGCAUGAUGAAGAAAGAGAGGAAUUAAAUGCAAACCAACCGGGAACUACCACGGAAGUAUCAACCGAUUAACAGAAAUGUACUUAACUUCCAAGACGACAAUUGAGCACCAGGAAAAAAAAUGCUGUUAUGCAUAUUUUACCUAAAAACUCAUAAAUGCAUGACCAUUAUUUCCUCAAAAUACAAGUACUAUCUCAUCAAUAUAGUAUUUAUUGUUCAAAAUGUGUAGUAAAUGUCUUAAAGUGAAUACUUUGGGUUACAGAAUUAUACGUAGAUUUAUUUUUAGAUGCAAAGACUCCAAACAUUAUAUUUUACAAUUGAAUGUUCAUUUCAUAACAUCUAAAGAUCUAAAGUUACUUGUUAUUGAUAUGAAUAACAAAUACAGGCAUUUUUGAAAUGAGAAAUUUCCGUUUUGAUGGGAAAAUCUAACAUUACAAAUUGCUAGGAGAGUCAUUCCUUCAUCAAAACCGCAAGGUUCAUGUAAGAUUUGUUUAUGAAUGUCCAUUUAUUGGUUUGUUGUUAUAAUUUUUAAUUGUUUUUGCAAGCCCAUCUCUUUUUCUUAUUUUCGUAUUAUAUUCCCAUCUAUUAUUUUGUUAACUAAACAUAACCUCUUUAUUUAUUUUACAUUUUCCCUGCAUUUUUAAACCAUAAAUCUCUAAAUAAAAAAAUAAUAUUUACUUGAAAACAGAGUAGCAUAUAAUUUAUACAGAUUUAAGGAGACCGACUUUAGUUUUCAUUGCGCAUCUAGUAUAAUACAGUUGAUUUAUACUUCUUAUGAGGUUUUUCGAUAUCACUUAUAAAAUUGAACACAAUAAAUAAAAUUCAGAUAAAAAUAUUUAUAUUUUUUAAGGAAUCUUUUUUUAAAACGAUUUUUCCGUUGUUGGGCAGGGGAGGAUUGCCAUUGCGCUUUUCUGACGUUAUGAUAAAAGAAAGCUUUUUAGGAGUACGUUAUAAGACAUAACAUAAAAGAAAAAGUAAAAAUUGUAUGCCGUUGAAAUUUUAUAUACAAAAUGACGCUAUCCUCGAGGACAUUUUCCUUCUUUGUUGAAUGAAUCCAUUUUACCAAUCUUCAUUCGUAAUGAUCCAAAUAUAUAGCAAACUUUGGAGCAUUUUAAUAUUUUGAGAUGGCCCAACUUAAAACCAGACGGUAGAAUUUAGUAUUCUUUACAUACUAAGUAGGAAAUGAUUUAACUAAUCCUAUAAAAUAAUUUGAGAAAAAAGCUAUUGUAGUAUUUUUUAAAAUCUGCUUGGGUGUGCGGAAAAUGACAGUUUCCUAUAUAUUCCUUUAGUAAAUGUACCUCUAAAUUGAAAUGGUUCCUAAAAAGAACCAGACGGUCGAUUUUCUUGAAAGUUCGCAAAUAAACUAGAGUUGGUUUAAAUUGAAUAUGGUGAAACAAUAAAGAGUUUUGCUAUUGUAGUUUUUCAGCACAAAAAACCCAAGUCGGCCUCCGUAAUUUUUAAGAAAAAACCUUACACUUAAAAAACAGAAAAAAAAAGAGUUCAUUUUUUUGUAAUGAAAUAAAAAAACAAAAUAAAUACUCGUUUAGUUUCUACAUUUAUCCAUUUGACAGUUUGUUAUUGUCAUUUUUCAUUACUAAAAUAAAUGUACUUGACGUUCAGUAUGAUUUUGUUCUUUUUCU